CCUACGGGUGGCAGCAGUGGGGGAUAUUGCACAAUGGGGGGAACCCUGAUGCAGCGACGCCGCGUGGGUGAAGGAGCGUUUCGGCGCGUAAAGCCCUAUCGGCAGGGAAGAAGGAGGACGGUACCUGACUAAGAAGCCCCGGCUAACUACGUGCCAGCAGCCGCGGUAAUAUGUAGGGGGCAAGCGUUAUCCGGAUUUACUGGGUGUAAAGGGGGCGCAGACGGCAGCGCAAGCCAGGAGUGAAAGCCCGGGGCCCAACCCCGGGACUGCUCUUGGAACUGCGCGGCUGGAGUGCAGGAGGGGCAGGCGGAAUUCCUGGUGUAGCGGUGAAAUGCGUAGAUAUCAGGAGGAACACCGGUUGCGAAGGCAGCUUACCAAUCUAUAUCUGACGUUGAGGCACGAAAGCGUGGGGAGCAAACAGGAUUAGAUACCCCUGUAGUC
rnacentral:rRNA from 1 species